ensembl:snRNA U6 U6 spliceosomal RNA
GUGCUCAGUUCAACAGCAUAGAUACUAAAAUUGGAAUGAUACAGAGAAGAUUAACAUGGCCUCUGCACAAGCAUGAUAUGCAAACAUAUUUUU